rnacentral:rRNA from 1 species
CUAAGGUCCGAGUUCAAAAGGGAAACAGCCCAGAUCUUCAUCUAAGGUCCCAAAAUUUGAGCUAAGUGUUUUUUAAGGAAGUAAUAUUCCUUUGAUAGCUAGGAGGUUAGCUUAGAAGCAGCUAUCCUUUAAAAAGUGCGUAAUAGCUUACUAGCUAAGGAAUUUUGCGCCGAAGAUUUACGGGACUAAAGCUCAAUACCGAAGAUAAGGCUGAACGUAUAAUUUAUUAUAUGUUCGGGGUAGGGGAGCAUUCUCAUGGCUGUGAAGUCUCACCGCAAGGUAGGGAUGGAGCAAUGAGAAGAGAAAAUGUUGGCAUGAGUAACCGCAAUUCGUCUGAAAACGACGAACACCGAAAGCCUAAGGUUUCCUUGGUAAUGACAAUCAACCAAGGGUUAGGCGGACCUAAUCUCUAGACCGAAAGGUCUCGAGAGAUGGACAGCCGGUUAAUAUUCCGGCCCCCUGUCUAGUUUUUUCUUUAAAGAGACGGAGACUUGUAACUUGGGCGAAUUAUUGAAUUUUCGUCUUCAUUCCGAGGUUUUUCCAAUGGAAUGAGGGAAGUCUUGAUUCGUCAAGGUAAACCCAAGCGAGCAGUCUCCCGAGAAAAUCUUUAAAGAAGCUAAAAUUAGAUGGGUCCGUACCGUAAACCGACACAGGUAGGCAAGUAUAAAUGUACUAAGGUGAACGAGUGAAACCUUGUUAAGGAACUAGGCAAAAAAGUGGUCGUAACUUCGGGAUAAGACCUUCCGCCACAUAGGCGGACGCAGCUAAAGUACCCCUGACGACUGUUUAUCAAAAACACAGGUCCCUGCUCAACUCGUAAGAGGAUGUAUAGGGGCUGAAACCUGACCAGUGCUGGAACGUUAACCUCAGCGGUCAUCAUCUUUUUAAGGUGAUGGCUGACAGAGCGAAGCGCCAGUGAACGUCCGCGGUAACUAUAACCGUGUUAAAGUAGCGUAAUCCCUUGCCGGGUAAGUUCCGGCCCGCAUGAAAGGUUUAACGAUUGGGGGACUGUCUCAACAAGGAGCUCGGUGAAAAUGCAAUACCGGUAAAGAUGCCGGUUACCUUCGGCUAGACGGAAAGACCCCGGGAGCUUUACUGUAGAGUGGUAUUGAGUUUUGGAUUUAGAUGCGUAGCGUAGCGGGUAGGCUUUGAAAUCUUGUUUUCGGACAGGAUGGAGCCGCCAAUGAAACACCCGUCUUUUACAUUCUCAAUUCUAAUUCUGACUAACGUCGGGAAACAGUGCUACUUGGUCAGUUUAAGUGGGGCGCUUGCCUCCUAAAGAGUAGCGGAGGCGUUUAUAAGGUCGGCUAGCUCCGGAUGGAAAUCGGAGUGAUCGGGCAAAGCCAUAAGCCGGCUUGACUGCAAGGCGGAUAUGCCGCGCAGGCAGGAAACUGGAACUUAGUGAACCGACUCUGGUUCUUAGAAUCGGAGAAGAUCAUCAGCCAAAAGUUACCCCGGGGAUAACAGGCUAGUAGGGCCCGCGAGUUCACAUCAACGGCCCUGUUCGGCACCUCAAAUAGAUAUAUCGGGGUGCUAUGACAGUAAUGUCAUACAAUAAAUCUGGCUUAUAACGGUGAAAUCCACUAGCCAUGGACAAUACCGUGGGAAGUUCUCGCUUUUUAAAGUGAGUAACCCCGUAGAGACUUGAUUAUUUAAAAAAUCAGAGUUCUCUUUUUAAAGAGAGCUAAUACGCCAGCUCCCGACAUAAUAUCGGGAUGAAGAUAUAGUCCGAUCCUCUUCGCAAGAAGAGAAAAAUACCGACAGCGAUGUCGGCUCAUCACAGCGCGGGGGUGAAGAAGCUCCCAAGCGUUUGGCUGUUCGCCAAUUAAAGUGGUACGUGAGCUGGGUUCAGACCGUCGUGAGACAGGUCGGUCCCUAUCUACCGUAGGCGUCGAGUU